GGGGGGGGUAAGCGUUGUUCGGAAUUACUGGGCGUAAAGGGCUCGUAGGCGGCCAACUAAGUCAUACGUGAAAUCCCUCAGCUUAACUGGGGAACUGCGUGUGAUACUGGAUGGCUUGGAUUUGGGAGAGGGAUGCGGAAUUCCAGGUGUAGCGGUGAAAUGCGUAGAUAUCUGGAGGAACACCGGUGGCGAAGGCGGCAUCCUGGACCAAUAUUGACGCUGAGGAGCGAAAGCCAGGGGAGCAAACGGGAUUAGAUACCCCGGUAGUCCUGGCCCUAAACGAUGAAUGCUUGGUGUAGCGGGUAUCGAUCCCUGCUGUGCCGAAGCUAACGCAUUAAGCAUUCCGCCUGGGGAGUACGGUCGCAAGGCUG
rnacentral:rRNA from 1 species